CCUGCGGAGGGAUCAUUACACAAUAAACAUAUGAAGGCUGCACCGCCAACAGGCGGCAAGGCUGGAGUAUUUUAUUACCCUUGUCUUUUGCGCACUUGUUGUUUCCUGGGCGGGUUCGCCCGCCUCCAGGACCACAUGAUAAACCUUUUUUAUGCAGUUGCAAUCAGCGUCAGUACAACAAAUGUAAAUCAUUUACAACUUUCAACAACGGAUCUCUUGGUUCUGGCAUCGAUGAAGAACGCAGCGAAAUGCGAUACGUAGUGUGAAUUGCAGAAUUCAGUGAAUCAUCGAAUCUUUGAACGCACAUUGCGCCCUUUGGUAUUCCAAAGGGCAUGCCUGUUCGAGCGUCAUUUGUACCCUCAAGCUUUGCUUGGUGUUGGGCGUUUUUUGUCUUUGGUUUUGUCCAAAGACUCGCCUUAAAACGAUUGGCAGCCGGCCUACUGGUUUCGCAGCGCAGCACAUUUUUGCGCUUGCAAUCAGCAAAAGAGGACGGCACUCCAUCAAGACUCUAUAUCACUUUUGACCUCGG
rnacentral:rRNA from 1 species